rfam:Triticum urartu cultivar G1812 contig360319, whole genome shotgun sequence.
AAAAUGGUUUUUUUCAAAACUACUCAUAAACCGUAAGGAUUUUACU